rnacentral:SRP_RNA from 1 species
UCCGGGGUCCUGCGCGAUGGGACGCCGUGAACCAUGUCAGGCGGGGAACCGAGCAGCAUUAAGCGGACUGUGCCAUGUGAUGCAGUCAAGCCUUUGGCU